rnacentral:lncRNA from 1 species
UGAGGCCCUCUGCAGCCGGACAAGGGGACAAGGCAGCGAUCCAGGGCCCUGCUUCCUGGUGUAGCUAGCCUGCCUCUUCCAGCCCAGUUCCCAAGCUUGGCGAUCUGUCUGGGCCACACCAAGCAGGUGUCUCCUGGGCUGCUGCCAAUUGAAAACCUGACUGGGCCAGGGGUGAGCUCUGAUCUAAGGGCUGGCAACUGCAGGAAGCCCCCACCCUAAUUCACCUGCGGAGACUGACUCAAGUCCGGAGCUCCGCCCACCUCUUGUCUGUCCACCAGAAUAUUUUCAACCUCGGUCGUUUGAUUCCACUCUCACUCCAGGAAUGAGAGGCAGUAGUGUAUAAGAGCUCAGAGCCGAGAGUCUGGAGCUAGGUGACCUAGUAGUGCAGUGCCCGAGGAGUCCAGAAGAAGACAUUGGAUCGUUUGACCCUGAAGUUACAGAUGCUAGGAAGCUGGGAAUCAAAGCCUGCCCCUCUGAAAGAUUAUUGAGUCUCAGCUGUGGAGCAAUAUCUUCAGCCUCUCUGGAGUGAGAAAGGUCAACCAUGGAAAGUAACCCUUUACCAGGAGAAGUUUAUAGGUGAAGAAUCCAGCAGCACCUUCAUGAAAGAAUUGCUGGCAGCAAUGCAGACUCCUGAGCCCUAGGAAUUCGAAUUCGGCUGCUACAGCACGGAGCAGAAGAUCCUCUUCAAGGGCUUCAGGCCCAGCUGUGCCUGGGCACUAUCUUGAAACAUCCUCAGCACAUCCUGUUCAAAAUCACGCAGCGGUAUUGCAAAGGCAUCAUCAGGACUAUGGGGCAAGCAGCAAUCCAGUGUGCUAGGAUGCAGAAAACCUAGAGUUCAGUGCCUCUUCUACCACCGAUGGGCUAUGUGCCCUCGCAGGCCACCUGCUCUCUCCUCGGCCUCUACUGCUGCCUUACGAGGAAGGAAGGUCUGGAAAACAUAGGCUUUCCCGAGUUCAAAUGUAUCAGAGCUUCAAAGACUGCUGUAUUU